UUUGAUUCUGGCUCAGAUUGAACGCUGGCGGGAUGCUUUACACAUGCAAGUCGAACGGCAGCACGGACUUCGGUCUGGUGGCGAGUGGCGAACGGGUGAGUAAUGUAUCGGAACGUGCCUAUAUGGGGAUAACUAAUACGCGAAAAAGUAACCAUUACCGCAUACGCCCUUCGGGGGAAAGCGGGGACCUUCGGGCCUCGCACUAUUAGAGCGGCCGAUAUCGGAUUAGCUAGUUGGUGGGGUAACGGCUCACCAAGGCGACGAUCCGUGGCUGGUUUUGAGAGGACGACCAGCCACACUGGGACUGAGACACGGCCCAGACUCCUACGGGAGGCAGCAGUGGGGAAUUUUGGACAAUGGGGAAACCCUGAUCCAGCCAUCCCGCGUGUGCGAUGAAGGCCUUUGGUUGUAAAGCACUUUUGGCAGGAAAGAAACGGCACGGGAUAAUACCCCGUGCAACUGACGGUACCUGCAGAAUAAGCACCGGCUAACUACGUGCCAGCAGCCGCGGUAAUACGUAGGGUGCAAGUGUUAAUCGGAAUUACUGGGCGUAAGCGUGCGCAGGCGGUUCGGAAAGAAAGAUGUGAAAUCCCAGAGCUUAACUUUGGAACUGCAUUUUUAACUACCGAGCUAGAGUGUGUCAGAGGGAGGUGGAAUUCGCGUAGCAGUGAAAUGCGUAGAUAUGCGGAGGAACACCGAUGGCGAAGGCAGCCUCCUGGGAUAACACUGACGCUCAUGCACGAAAGCGUGGGAGCAAACAGGAUUAGAUACUCCGGUAGUCCACGCCUCUAAACGAUGUCAACUAGCUGCUACUUCGGCCUUGGUAGCGCAGCUAACGCAAGAAGUUGACCGCCUGGGGAGUACGGUCGCAAGAUUAAAACUCAAAGGAAUUGAUUUGGGACCCGCACAAGCGGUGGAUGAUGUGGAUUAAUUCGAUGCAACGCGAAAACCUUACCUACCCUGACAUGGCCCGUAACCCCAGAUUUGGGAGUGCUCGCAAGAGAACCGGAACACAGGUGCUGCAUGGCUGUCGUCAGCUCGUGUCGUGAGAUGUUGGGUUAAGUCCCGCAACGAGCGCAACCCUGUCAUUAGUUGCUACGAAAGGGCACUCAAUGAGACUGCCGGUGACAAACCGGAGGAAGGGUGGGGAUGACGUCAAGUCCUCAUGGCCCUUAUGGUAGGGCUUCACACGUCAUACAAUGGUCGGGAUAGGUCGCCAACCCUGCGAGGGGGAGCCAAUCCCAGAAACCCGAUCGUAGUCCGGAUCGCAGUCUGCAACUCGACUGCGUGAAGUCGGAAUCGCUAGUAAUCGCGGAUCAGCAUGUCGCGGUGAAUACGUUCCCGGCCCUGUACACACCGCCCGUCACACCAUGGGAGUGGGUUUCACCAGAAGUAGUUAGCCUAACCGUAAGGAGGGCGAUUACCACGGUAGGAUUCAUGACUGGGGUGAAGUCGUAACAAGGUAA
rnacentral:rRNA from 1 species